UUCGAUUUCAGUUCAUUCCAUUUCCCGUUCAAUCUUUCAUAAUACAGUACAAGGCUUACUAUUGUGGAAGUGAGAUUUGGACUACCGUGUCUGUGAUAGGUGUUUUCCGAUACCCAAAGGAGUUGAGUUGUUCAUAUUCUUAGAUAAAAGAGAUCCAUACAUGGACUCGGCUGCAGGAUGGCUGUUUCCCGAGAUUCUGGAAAUGAUUUUCUCGAACCUCGAACUGAGGGACUUGGUAGCCUGCAGUGGCGUGAAUCGAGCCUGGAACGUAGCAGCUAACACGGCCAAGCUGUGGAAGAAAUUCCUAAGUAAAAGUGAUCUCAGCUGGUUGCCGACAAAUGUGAAUUGUGAACUUCACUCCUCCUCCAUCACCACUGAUAACAAUCCGUCACAAAGUUUUCCAGCAUCCAAUCCUUACAGAAACAUUAUCCAACAACGUAACCAAGUGAAGCACAACUGGAUCAACGGUUGUUUCACAUCAUAUGACUUGGAUCCGUCAGAAUACGGCUGGAAAUUAACUUCUUACAACACUACGGCAAUGGAGUACCCGUCAAAUGCACCACAAGACUGCGCGUACUACCCUGUCGUGGGGAAGUUUAGUAACACGAAAUUCGUCAAUUUAUUUCGAUUUGAUACAGUGUUGGAGCUUGUUUGUAGAUUGCCAAUAGACUUUGAAGUGAAUGAUGUUUUGGUUUGCUGCGUUAUGAGAGACUUUAUAGCGUGGCUACUGAAGGACGGAACUGUACCGUAUGUCACACUGCCUACAUGUGACAAGUGUUCAUUCGAGCAAUGUCAAGUGAAAACAUUAAACUUUUUCACUGUCACCAAACCAAAAGGUUCAGAAUGCCUCCUCACUAUGGAUGCUAACCACAUAGUAAUUUCAACCUUUCAAUUCCUAAAAGUCUGGAAUAAGAAAUCUGUUGAGUUAAUACUCUCCCGUUGUUCACCCACCAACUUUGACGAAUCACGUCCUUCUGUUUAUUAUGAUGAAUAUCCUUUAUACUUAGAUGAUGGGUAUAUAAUUAAAUGCUACCGAACACAUAUCCCAGACACAACACUGAUUGAAGAAUAUAACUUGGAAACUAACAGCAAGUUGCCAACCGAAUUCACAAUGAGAGGAACUGUUACCGGAGUUAAAUGCACUGGAAACUGCGUUGUGAUGAAAUAUUAUGAGAUGGAAUUUUACAGUUUUAUCCAAGUGCGUCGAAAGAAUGAUCUAAAACUAAUAAUAUUCACAUAUAACUGUUAUGACGAUUCUAAUUAUACUACUUAUGAAAUCGUCGGAAACUCAUUUCUCAUUUAUCGUUUGAGCCUAGAAGAUUAUGAAGAAAUUGAAAUUUCAACGGGUGUCAGAAGUCCCAUCCGUAAACUUCCUGUUAAUUGUCUAAAGGUUAGUAAUUUAUUUGACAGUCUUGCCUUAAUAAGAACAGAGUGUAUGGAAAUUUGGGACUGGAAGAGGAAUUGCAUGGGCCCCAAGCUGCAUGAUUCGAACCGAUUGAUAAUACGUGCUACCCCAAAGUGGAUCAUAACUAAUAAUGACACUCCAUCAGGACUUCAUUUCAAAGUUUAUAGGUGUAAUUGAGUUCAAAUCACAUUUAGACUUGGUAUCUACGUAAAAAUUGUACUUUCGACUUUGAAUUUUCAGAUGAUUUUAACUACUAGUGACACAGAACCAUAGUUGCAACAACUCUUGUAUUCAUGAAUCUGUUUUCUUGUUCUGUAACUGUCUACUUUUUAUGUUAUUUGAUUUGAAUUGAUUCCAAAUAAAUUAUAGCAACUGAACCGAA
rnacentral:misc_RNA from 1 species